rnacentral:lncRNA from 1 species
AUAGGAUAAGUAGACAUAUCUUGCACAAAGAAGUUUUUCUCAUCACUAAUAUCUCCUAUUAUAACCUAUUAUAUUGAGAAAAGACAUCCUUCUAGAGUGGAUCUCACUGAAAACUUAAGACAUAUGUGCCCUAAGGUCAUGGUCGAAUGUCUCAGCUGUGGGGCAAAGAUCCCAAUGAAGUCCAGCCUGAGCGAUGCCUUGAGGGUAGUAUAUUCAUCCCUGUAUCUCCAUCAGUAUUUCCUGCUUUCCAGGCUUGUAAUUCGUGUCCUGCCUUAUCCCCAGUCCAGAUAGGUGCAUAAACUUUCUUCUGGGUGAUAAGUAUAUUGACUGAUGCCGAACAUUUGCACUGUUUAGCCAGGCUGGUCCUCGCAUCUGCAUUGGCAUCAAAUCGGCGGCCUUGCAUAUGAAGAUGGCCACGGCAGAUUUUUAUGUCGGUUGUCAAGUUCAGAAUUGAUGCGUGGUCACCCUGUGGAUUGCCAACCGACCGCCAACUUUUCCAUACAAAAAAGAACUGCACUGGGUAGAGAGAAGGCAAUGUUUAAAUAAAUGUGUCCCUCGUUUGUUUCUACCCCGCCUUCAUCACAAUAACAAACUUCGUGUGUAUCAGAAUUAGUUCGGAGUUAUGAAAUUUGUAUCUUCAAGCACAAAAAUAGUUCGUGAAAAUCUAACAAAUUUUUAUUUUAUUUAUUUAAUUAUUAAUAACUUGAAUGUGAAUACUAGAUAAUGCUCUCCAGCUUGUAAAUGUCCAUUGUUUAUAUUUUCAAUAUUUAUGUAUACGUGCCAUUCAUUAUACGUAUAUUGAAAAUAUUUAUGUAUACGUGCCAUAUACAAAAGCAUUAUUAAUUGUUGAUUCAGGGUAAUUUAAAAUUAGCAUAUGCUUGGAAGACAACAUAUACUAAAUAAUCCGUACACGGGUUUAGGAACUUACCUCUCAACUGCAAUACAUCGGAGCAAAAGAUGGAUAGCAGAAUAAAAAAGGUGGUUUACGGUGUGUGCUAUACCAAAGCUAUCAGAACUAGGGAAUUAAUUAUAGGGGACUCCCAUUGAAUUUACUGUGAAGGGAAACACUUGAACCUAUGACAAACAUAGAUGAGGAUGCAAUACAAGCUAAUCUUAUCAAAGUCCUCUAAUACUUAAUUACAGCUGGAUCAUAUUUGCUAAAAAUGAAAUAAUGAAUUUAUAGAACCAGAAUGUCCGGGAAAAAAUACGAUUCUAACAUUAUCUGACAUUGCCAACGAAGAAGCUUAAUCAUUCUAAGCAUUCUAGGUAAUGCUGAUCUUGACCAAUGUCAAUGCUUCGACCUACACAAAUAGUCUACAAUAAAUACCUGCUUUCAAUUACCAACUAAAAAAAAAAAAAUCCAGUGGGAGACACAACAGCAAAUGAAUUCAGAAGCCCUCAAUAUCCGUUCUGAGACAACAACACAGAUAUGUAUAUGUACACGAUUAUUCGUCUGAUAACCAACAUCCGUUCUAUCGAGAUUGUGAAGAAUCAACGAGGUGCUUAAGAGUGCAAGGCAUCUUGUUCCACAUAUUCGGUUAGCACAAAUUUUUAGAAGUCAGCCUCAUGAAAGAUAAAUCAAAAGAAACAGCAGGAACCACUUACGUUAAUUGUCAAGAACUCACACUUCCCAACAUCUUCCACAUCCCACCACCAGCAUUCGCAGGUUGAUGGAAGACGUUACGAGCCCACCUCAUGUAAUGUGGGCCACAAAGCCGACAACCCUCAUCUGACAAAGCAAUGCCCCAAGACAAUCUGUACAAAAGGGAUCAAUGCCAUCAUGUAACCGUGCCAUAAAAAAGAUCUUCCAACUUGACUCAUUCAAACCCUGCGAUUCCAUAUAUCCUUGUAAUCAACCAGGUGUCAGACAACGACAUCACAGCCAGCACGCGCAAUAAAAAGUAGGCCACAACUAUAUUCCAAGCAUAAUCGAGUAGCUGACAAAUGCAAACCAACGAACUUACCCCAAACGGCUUACUACGGCAGUACCCUGAAACCGUCAAAUUUUCCAAGGAAACUAUAACAAAGAAAUGUGUGUAUUUAUAUGAAUGCUCCACAGGCUUGAAAUUUUCAAACUACAUUGUACAUAGGACCAACCAGCAAAACUAAGGAUCAAUGUGUCUUCCUAAACCAACUAGAAGUACAUCGAGGAUUCCUUCCAACAAGAAGACCUACUGCAACUGAUCAAGCUCAACAAUGUCUGCACCACAUAUCACUUCCACCUCCUCCGUCUCCUACUCUCCAUUACCCAUCCCCCCUUCCACCCUCCAUUCCAAUCAUCACCAUCCACAUCCACAACUCUCUGCACGCCAAAAUGUAAUUCUCCAAUAAAUAUAACCAUAGCACCACCUCGUCCCUAAAUCUGUUCAGAAUCUAGUGAUUACCGUAUCUCUCUCCAUGGUGCACAUCUUAACCAUGUAGUCUCCACUACUUUACUACACAACAGAGUUCUGAAAAAAUCAAGUGGUAUCGGACAUUCCAAUUCCUACGCAACCAAAAUAAACACAGAAGACCGCCUCCUACCCACUGCUUCCUCUAACUCUCGGCCCUCCCCCUCCUCCCCUACCCCUUCUCCUACACCACACCUACUGGCAGGUCACUCCAUUCCCAUCCGACCACUCGAUCGGCUCCUCGCCGCCUGUGGCUCCACAUUUCUGGACCAUGGUCAUGCAGCCAAAAUCCUGCCGCCUUUACUUUAACACUAGGUCGACACGCCUGCGCCCAUCCCAACACAAUCCCAUCGUCAGCCCCGCAACACAAAUCCCGCCACAAAUCACCCUCCCACCACCACUUCCUUCACGCAUCGCACGCACCUACUACCCGCCCCACAUCUCUACCCAUCAUGCGCUACCUCGACACCGCUCUUACCACUACUCUCCACCAUCUAAG